ensembl:lncRNA LINC02405 long intergenic non-protein coding RNA 2405
GAGUGUUAAAUGGCCAGCAGGAAUUAUCCACUAGAGAAGCGGAAGGGAGAGAAUGGAAAUGGCCGCAUGCAGCUCCUCUCCCUCAGACAGCUCGGGGCUCAGCGGAAUGAGCACAGUCUGCAGGACAAGUGCGGAGGACUUCAGUCCCCUCUACUGUAUAUUGGCUUUAGGACUCAAGUUGUCCCUGAAAUAGAGGAAGGUGUUUUCUAGGGUAGUGGUAAUUAUCACAGUCAAAAAAGUAGGCGAGAGCACUUAGGAAAACUGUGCGGAGAUCGGCUGCUGAUGUGUAAAUACUGCUGAAGCUGCUUAUUCAAGAUUAGAAAACCUGAGACCCAGACGGGGGAAACUGCUUUCCAUGGUUAAUCGUCAACAACUGGCCAGGAUGGGACAGAAGCCCAUACAUAGCCUUCAUUCCAGGGCUCAGAACAAAAAGAAGGCAGUGGCCUGGGCUGCACCUGAGCUUGGCUUCACAUAGGAGGGAUUCUGGAACGCAGGAUCCUGACAACGACCUCAAGCCCCUGUAAAGCAACACAUUUUUUGGCAAGAAUCCCUGGGACAGAGAAAGAAUUUCUUCUCACUUAUUAUUGAGAAUGUUCUCAUGUCUUGCAAGGCUCACUGCCCAGUAGAAGCUGAAAAGAUUCAGUAUGAGUAAAAGAAGAGAUCUGAAAUUUGCAGCUUGUCAUAGAAAGGAUGAAUUCUGUUGGAAAGAUGGGCUGUUCUCCAUGUGGUCUCUCAUCCUAAGCAGGCCAGCCAAGGCAUAUUCUCUUGCUGAGGCAGAUGUUCAAGAAGGAAAACAGAAGCACACAAAGCCUUUGGAAGCUGGACUCACAAGUGGCACAUUGGUAUGACUACCGCCUUGACUAGUCAUAAGGCCACACUUGAUUCAAGAUUGAAGGAGUUGGAAAAUAUUCAUGUGUUGAGUGCUACCUGAAGGGAGGAGUGUGACUUCCACUGUCCUGUUCUUAGGGCUGCCUUGCAGCUUUCAGCAAAUAGAGAGGGAGGGCCAUCUUCAAACACUGAGGUGCAGGUGCUACUAGCUGGAAGUUGGUAGAAGCAAUGUAAGUGGUGAAUGGUUGUUAUACCAGCCGUGUCUGCUACAUCUACUAUUCUCUCUUCCUCAAGACUUCUUUUUACUUCCUUUACUGGAUCUACUUCCUAUGGACUUUAGGCUUCAGCUUAGACAUAAAUUUCUAAAGAAGUCUUCUCUAACCUCAGACAUCUUGACUUACAUCCCUGAUGCAAUGUCUCAGGAUUGCUUGUACAUCUUAUGAUAAUAUUCACCACUCUAUUGUUGAAUUGCAUUCCCACCCAGAUGUAAGGUGCAUGAACACUGGGGUUCUGCCUAUGUUUUUAACCACUGAGUUCCACAGUGCCUAACACAUGGCACAUAUUCAAUAAAUAGUAUGUAUUCUGAACAGAAUUUUGUAUUUUUUGAGACCGAGUCUCACUCUGUUGCCCAAGCUGGAGUGCAGUGGCGUGAUCUUGGCUCACUGCAAGCUCCACCUCGCGGGUUCACGCCAUUCUCCUGCCUCAGCCUCCCGAGUAGCUGGGACUACAGGCGCCCACCACCACGCCUGGCUAAGUUUUUGUAUUUUUAGUACAGAUGGGGUUUCACCAUGUUAAUCAGGAUAGUCUCGAUCUCCUGACCUCAUGAUCCACCUGCCUCAGCCUCCCAGACUGCUGGGAUUACAGGCGUGAACCACCACACCUGGCCUUCUGAACAGAAUUUAACCAUGCCUUUGAACGCACAUUUAAGCCUGAUUUUAUGAUAAGCCUGAGUUAAAUUUCCCAUGAGACCCUGAAUAAAGAGUCCACUUCUUCUCAGCGUGACAAGGCAUUUGACACACAUGAAUUUUGUAAAGAGUAUCUGCCGCUUGUCAGGUACAAAAAUCACUUUCUGGGACAUUCAAAUGGCAAGUGUGGAGCAGGCAAGGAAAUGAAGCCAUAAUAAGAUAGAGUUUCUCAGCUGAGUAAUUGGGUUUCUAAACACAUGCAUAUUUUAUGUCUCCUUGUAUUAAAUCAUUCAUGGAAAAUAUGUUUCUGUUAAAUAAAAUAGUAUAUGACA